CUCUUCAGAGAGUUUGUAAAUAUGGCUCCUAGUAAUCUCGCGGGAGUCUUUGCAUGUCUGCUCCUCCUAUUAAAAACAACGCUCUGGAACAGGAAGAGCGUAACUGGAUCGUUCUGGCGUCUCAAGUUCAUCACACCUUCAUUCUGACAUUCAUGGGUUGAUUCCUAGUUGUCACACAGUAUCUCCGCAUACUUGAUCGUCCUUGCAUGGGACUAUAUUAUGCUGCACGCCUCACGUGUUGUGCAAGUAAAAUUAUUUCAAACUUCUAACUGAUCACUGGGACAGCACAAUCUUCAGGACACCUUCCAUGCUAGCCCUAGCGGCCUUACACUUUCGUAUAAUACUACAGUGUAUACAGCACAGAGGUAGUGUCCUAUACAGAGCUAACCAACCAGCUAACUUUGUCAGGCAUCUUCAGGGCCCAAAACUAUAUCAACAGAGAUGCAAAACACCAGUCUAUUACUCCUGACUAUCUGGUCCGUGUUCGGAGCCUAUCUCGGAUUGCUAUUGACGAGUGUCGGGACGUUCACAAAUCAGUGGGUGUUCACGUCCGAGGAGCGACAUCUGGAUUUCCACAACGGAACUCUCCGAAUUACCAUGAAUAUGUACUCCGGGCUGUUGGAAUCCUGCCGGAUACGAGUCACUUAUAUUUGGGACUCCAAGGAUGCGUGGAAACAAAUGGAAAAUAACGCCACUCAAGAAGUCACACCAAGACCUGGCAGUCCAACCUGUGUGAAAAUAAGAAAUGUCCUUCCUGCACCCGGCUCGCCACCUAAGGACAUUACGUCAGCGGCACUCUCUAAGAUUAACUCCGUUUGGCCAUUCCCUGUCAUCAGUUUCCUGCUACUCAUCGUGUCUUCUGUACUCAGCACGCUAGGAUUAUGCAUUCCAACCAAGAGGGCGUUUAUGUUCUUCGCUGGUGUCGUGAGCAUCAUUGCAGGUUUAUUUGGUUUAACUGGUAUCGUAUGCUACAUCAUCGCUGUUGGAGACGCAGUCAUUGAGAAGCAUCCUAUUCUACCUGACAAGAUAUUCCAACAUACUUACGGCUACUCGUUCUGUUUCUGCGCUCUGUCCUUCGUCAUAUCGGAGACAACGGGUGUUGCCAGCCUCUACCUUUUCAUCAAACAGGAGACGUACGCCUUACGGAGCGAGAAGGAGCGAUUACGGCACCGUCUAAUGGUCUCUGGUUCCGGUACCUCCGUGGCUACGGGAAGCACCCAGGUUAUACCCCUCAAACUGUCUGUCGAGCCCGCUGUUAUAGAGCUGUAACCACCACACAAUAAUCAAAUCGUCACGUCAGUCGUGGACAGGUAUGGCACAACAUGUCAAAGUUCGUAACUACAUGGCCUUUCUGAUGCUGUGAGCUGGAAAAUCGGCACACCUUAGUCCCACUAUCGUCUGCAAGAAAACGGCUCGACGAAAUCUUAAUAAGUUCUUGAACAGAUUUUUUUGUUAGGCUGCAAUAUAAUUAUUAAUACAUAAACAAAUCGAAACGGAUUUACUGAAAAAAAAAAAAAUUCUUCAAGAUAUUGAACUAUUUGAAUAACUAAGGGAAUCAAUGUGUGGUGAAGAGGUUUUCAACUAGUGGUUUAAUCCCAACGAUGCCUGG